rnacentral:tRNA from 1 species
GUUGAUUAGGUGUUUUUUGCAUGUUAAUUUUUCGUAUUAAUGGGGAGGUUGUUUGUUUACUCAGUC